UCCCCGUUAACCGGGGCAGUCCCCCUAGAGUUCCCGGCAUGACCCGUUGGCAACUAGGGGCGAGGGUUGCGCUCGUUGCGGGACUUAACCCAACAUCUCACGACACGAGCUGACGACAGCCAUGCACCACCUGUAUACCGACCACAAGGGGGGCCGUAUCUCUACGGCUUUCCGGUAUAUGUCAAACCCAGGUAAGGUGGGGAUGACGUUAGGAUAG
rnacentral:misc_RNA from 1 species